AUGGAGGGCAAGGUCGCAGCAAUAGCUUUGGUCUUGCUCUUUCUUACCUUGGGUGCAGAGGCCGAGUUGUGCAAGCAACGUAGCCGAACUUUCAAAGGGCGGUGCACCCACAACGACAACUGUGUCGCCAUCUGCCUCACUGAGAACUUCACCGGAGGGUAUUGCCACGGCGUUGUAGAACGUCACUGCAUGUGUACUAAGAAGUGUGGCGAGCUGCCGGAAGAGCCGGAGGAGCCGCCGCCACCGGAAAUGAUGAUCUGA
rnacentral:rRNA from 1 species